UUCCGUAGGGGUGACCUGCGGAGGGAUCAUUGCUGGAACGCGCCCCAGGCGCACCCAGAAACCCUUUGUGAACUUAUACCUUUUGUUGCCUCGGCGCAUGCUGGCCUCUAGUAGGCCCCUCACCCCGGUGAGGAGAAGGCACGCCGGCGGCCAAGUUAACUCUUGUUUUUACACUGAAACUCUGAGAAAAAACACAAAUGAAUCAAAACUUUCAACAACGGAUCUCUUGGUUCUGGCAUCGAUGAAGAACGCAGCGAAAUGCGAUAAGUAAUGUGAAUUGCAGAAUUCAGUGAAUCAUCGAAUCUUUGAACGCACAUUGCGCCCUCUGGUAUUCCGGAGGGCAUGCCUGUUCGAGCGUCAUUUCAACCCUCAAGCAUUGCUUGGUGUUGGGGCACUGCUUCUAACGAAGCAGGCCCUGAAAUCUAGUGGCGAGCUCGCCAGGACCCCGAGCGCAGUAGUUAAACCCUCGCUCUGGAAGGCCCUGGCGGUGCCCUGCCGUUAAACCCCCAACUUCUGAAAAUUGACCUCGGAUCAGGCUCGUAUGAGACAGGG
rnacentral:rRNA from 1 species